AGCGAACGCUGGCGGCAGGCCUAACACAUGCAAGUCGAACGAAGUCUUCGGACUUAGUGGCGGACGGGUGAGUAACACGUGGGAACGUACCUUUUGGUUCGGAACAACUCAGGGAAACUUGAGCUAAUACCGGAUGAGCCCUUAGGGGGAAAGAUUUAUCGCCGAAAGAGCGGCCCGCGUUAGAUUAGCUAGUUGGUGAGGUAAAGGCUCACCAAGGCUACGAUCUAUAGCUGGUCUGAGAGGAUGAUCAGCCACACUGGGACAGAGACACGGCCCAGACUCCUACGGGAGGCAGCAGUGGGGAAUCUUGCGCAAUGGGCGAAAGCCUGACGCAUCCAUGCCGCGUGAAUGAUGAAGGUCUUAGGAUUGUAAAAUUCUUUUACCGGGGACGAUAAUGACGGUACCUGGAGAAAAAGCCCCGGCUAACUUCGUGCCAGCAGCCGCCGUAACAC
rnacentral:rRNA from 1 species